rnacentral:rRNA from 1 species
AUGGCGUCCGCCUCCAUCGCUCCCCCUCUCCUCCUCUUCGUCGCCGUCCUCGCGGUCACCCUGGCGGCGGCGACGGUGGCAGCCGACGCGCAUCAACCGGCUCCGGGUGGUGACGGUGAUGAUCGUCAGCUGAUGGCGGCGGGCGGCGGCGGCGGGAGGACCCUGCUGGGCAUAGACUGCCCCAAGGCGUGCGAGGCGCGGUGCGGGAGGAACUGGAAGAACGAGAUGUGCAACAAGUUGUGCAACAUCUGCUGCGGCAAGUGCAGCUGCGUCCCCUCCGGCACCGGCCAGGACACCCGCAACGAGUGCCCCUGCUACGCCAACAUGAAGAACACCAAGAACGGCAAACCCAAGUGCCCCUAA